UUUGGUUGGAGGGAAUGGCUAUUCCAUUCCCUCCUUAUUCUGUGAUGACUGGUAAUGCUUUUGUUUGGUUCACCAUUUCUUUAUUCGGCCGUAUUACUUAAAGCGUUUCUAUUCCCUCAAACGCGUAAUAGGGAUUCAGCGUUGAAAGCUUGGAAUGGCUAUUCAGACCAUCGCUGAAUAGAAAUGAAGAAAAUUCUUCCCAAAAUCUCCUUCAGACUUUCUCUGCAAAUGCGUUCAAAAUUGCUUCUUUUAUUACAACAAUACACUUUCAGUAUUUCAGAUUUGGAGAUAUGGUGCAACAGACGAAACUUUAUUAAGAAAUAUACAUUAUAGUGCUUUGGAGCAGACACAAAUUGAAGUCCAGACACUAGAGGGUCAAAUGGAACCAGAAGUUCUGCUAGCAGGCAGUAUAGAUGGCUCCUUCAGGUAUAAAUGGAGUUGGAAAUAGAUAUAGAUGUAUUUGCAUCCUCUUCCAAGUACAAUAUGCCUUCGAUUUUCUAUUAUUGUACUAUAAAUUCUAGUACUUUGGUUGGAUCUAUAAGUCAGUAAUGUCAGUUUUCCAGCUUCAGUGUUCUGUUUUUAUGAGCUUGUUAACAAAAUUUAGGUCAGGGUUGAAAGCUGAAAUUGGAAUACUCUUUCCUAGGAUAUUUUCUCCGGGAUGAAUCAGUGCAGUGCUUUGUUGGCAUCAUUAAGUCAAUGGGAGCUUGGAUGGAUCAAGAGCUGAAGAUAGGUGAUUCUGACUUGUCUAGAAACUUCGAGAGUGACACUUCAUCAGAGAGACCUUCAACCUCAAUUGUAGAAAAUAGAGUUGUCCCUGAUUGUGAGCUGCAUCCAGAAAUGAAUUUUGAAUUGUCAGAUACUGCUACGCUUGAGCAACGCCUGGCUUACAAGAUUGAACUCCAAGUCGGUAAUUUUUUUAUGUUGGGAUAAGUAUGAGUGGUUCUUCAAGUAGCAGUUACUUAUCAUACUGAAACUGUCACAGAGGGCUGCCUAAGGAUAUCAUUAUAAUUUGCCAUAUUACUAUUGACUUCUCCUCAGUCAUGUAAUUUUAUGUAGCGUAAUUUUAUGUGUAGCUCUCCUUUUCUUUUACAAGCUUAGUUUUACUGACCAACUUUAAUGGGUUACAUGCAGAAAGGUGGCUCAUUAUUUAACAGGAAUCCUUCCAAAGGCAUCGAGUUUCUUAUAGAUACAUGCAGAUGAGAGUUUUGUUGCCUGAUAGACCAGGCUUUUCUUCAGCCAAGUUAAAUAGUUUCAUGACUAUUUCAUUCUUGAGAUAUUCCAAUGGAAGCACAAAGUGUUUCUGAUCUAUACUGUAUACAACAAAAUCGCCCUGCUCAACUGUUGUUGACGUGUUGCAACUGUUUGCGCCAGUAUCUGAGGUGGCACUUGAUGGUUAAUAGGAAAGAACUCCGAGAUGAAAGGAAAAAGAGGGAAGAUUUAGGCUUGAAACUCUUCUGGAUAUAAAGCAAUGGAAAUUUGAUGAAUAUAUAACUAGAAGGCAAACAUGGAGAACCACUUUCAGAACAUAGGAAAUCAAAUCAAUUAACGUACGGCAAUCAACGUACGGUUUUAGUGUAGCAGAUUAGAAACUCAAGAAUUUACCAAGAGGUGGUCGCUCUCAAGGAAUUAACACUGAUUUUCUGAAUAAUAACACAAUAUGCAUACUUAUGUAGCUUUUUGAUGGUAUAAUGACAUGAUAGAAUAUGUUACAAUGUUGUAACUUUUUAAUGUUGUAAAAUUUUAUAACAUAUUAAUUAUGACAUAUAAAUUAAUGAAAUCGUGUAACUUUUUGUUAAUAUAUGAAUAUUAUGUUUGGAUGUGAAAUAUAA